rnacentral:rRNA from 1 species
GGCCCAGAUCGUUUACCGUGAAAAAAUUAGAGUGUUCAAAGCAGGCAGAUCCAAUUUUCUGCCACCGAAUACAUUAGCAUGGGAUAAUGGAAUAGGACCCUGUCCUCCUAUUUUCAGUUGGUUUUGGCAGCGCGAGGACUAGGGUAAUGAUUAAUAGGGAUAGUUGGGGGCAUUAAUAUUUAAUUGUCAGAGGUGAAAUUCUUGGAUUUAUGAAAGAUUAACUUCUGCGAAAGCAUCUGCCAAGGAUGUUUUCAUUAAUCAAGAACGAAAGUUAGGGGAUCGAAGACGAUCAGAUACCGUCGUAGUCUUAACCAUAAACGAUGCCGACCAGCGAUUAGGAGACGUUGAAUACAAAACACCACCAUCGGCGCGGUCGUCCUUGGCGUCUGUGUCCCUUUCAACGGGGGCAUAUGGCGCGAGGGCGGUUUAGCCCGGUGGCACCGGUGAAUGACUCCCCUAGCAGCUUGUGAG